rnacentral:rRNA from 1 species
GACGAACGCUUGCGACGUGCCUAAGAAAUGCAAGUCGAGCGAGGCAGCAAUGCCUAGCGGCGAACGGUCGCGUAACACGUAAGCAACCUGCCCCAAAGACCGGGACAACGUUCCGAAAGGAGCGCUAAUACCGGAUGCGCCCAUCUGUUGACAUCGGCGGAUGAGUAAAUCGAGCAAUCGGCUUUGGGAGGGGCUUGCGGCCUAUCAGCUAGAUGGCGGGGUAACGGCUCACCAUGGCGACGACGGGUAGCUGGUCUGAGAGGACGACCAGUCACACUGGAACUGAGACACGGUCCAGACACCUACGGGUGGCAGCAGUCGAGAAUUUUCGACAAUGGGGGAAACCCUGAUCGAGCGACGCCGCGUGGAGGAUGAAGGUCUUCGGGUUGUAAACUCUGUCAUUUGAGAACAAGGUGCAUCGAGUAACUACCGAUGCAUUGAUAGUA